GCCAUGUUUUUGCAUUUGGAGAGUAUAGAGCUUUCACAAUAGCUAAUAUAGUUCUUGGGCUGAAAGGGAUACAAAUUCGUGAGAAAUCCACACAAAUGUUGACUACACAAUUGAUCUCCUCAAUGCUGACGUCAUAGAACAACUCCGACUUCAACAUAAGAAGGAUCUUCUCCGGGUGGUAGACAGAGUCGGCAUUUAGAAGUCUAGUUACCAUGUGACGCGUAUGGAAAUGUUGUGCUUUGUAGUAGAGAUUGCAGUGUUCAGAGGAGGCACCAAAAGGCAAGCUCCUAUUCACUUUUCAUCUUACUUUUAAUUUGAUAAAUUCUCAGAACCAUUUUCUUAUGGUCUGGAGUUUGGGAAUAUAUUUACUAGUGCCCUCUCUAUUUUCAACAUAGAAGUAGUUUCUGAAUAUUCUCCCUUUCUAGGUUUGUCUUUGGCCUCUCAUUUUACAAUCAUAACUUAGAUUCAAAGGAAAAAAGCUCAAUCCAUCUUCAAGACAAAUUUUUAACUGAAAUUUAUAAGCAUAUUAAUAGAUUCAUGGCCAACAAAUGUAUCACAAUAGCUAUUCUAGCAUGAGAGUAUCCUCUUUCAUAACUUUAUUUUCAAACUAAAAAAUAAUUCAGUUUGCCAUUCUUCUU